UCUACGCCAUCGUCAACCAUCCCAUUCUUCCACGGUGUUUUAGCGAACUGCGCUCGAGAGUUGGGGCCAAGCGAGCGAGCGAGCGAGCGGGGGAGAGAGAUGCAUUGGGUUAAAGCCGAUUCCUCGGAUUUCAGUGGAAAUCUCCCCCUCCCUAGAAGUGGCCACACAGCCGUGAAUGUUGGUAAAUCGAAAGUGGUUAUCUUCGGAGGCUUUGCGGACCGACGAUUCCUCGACGAUAUCUCUGUCUAUGACAUCGAAAAUAAAUUAUGGUUCACUCCUUAUUGUACUGGCAGUGGCUCUGAUGGGCAAGCCGGUCCAAGUCCUAGAGCAUUCCAUGUAGCUGUUGCAAUCGAUUGCAACAUGUUUAUCUUUGGGGGACGUACUGGCAGUAAGAGGUUGGGUGACUUUUGGAUGCUCGAUACAGAUAUAUGGCAGUGGUCUGAGCUAACCAGCUAUGGUGAUUUGCCAUCACCACGGGAGUUUGCAGCUGCUUCAGCUAUCGGAAAUCGUAAAAUUGUCAUGCAUGGUGGUUGGGAUGGUAAAAAAUGGCUCUCAGAUGUGUAUAUCUUAGAUACAAUAUCACUUGAGUGGAUGGAAUUGUCAAUUUCUGGGUCAGCUCCACCACCUAGGUGUGGACAUUCUGCCACCAUGGUUGAGAAGCGCUUGCUCAUUUUUGGUGGAAGAGGUGGUGGUGGACCCAUCAUGGGUGAUCUGUGGGCUUUGAAGGGUCUUAUUGAAGAAGAGAACGAGACACCCGGGUGGACUCAGUUAAAGCUUCCUGGACAAGCCCCAUCUCCUCGCUGUGGCCAUACAGUAACUUCUGGAGGACAUUAUCUAUUGUUAUUUGGUGGGCAUGGAACUGGAGGUUGGCUCAGUCGGUACGAUAUCUAUCACAAUGACUGCAUUAUUUUGGACAGGGUCUCUGUGCAGUGGAAGCUCUUGACUACAAGUAAUGCACUUCCUCUGCCUCGAGCAUAUCAUUCCAUGACUUGCAUUGGUGCUCGCUAUCUUUUAUUUGGUGGCUUUGAUGGAAAGUCUACAUUUGGUGAUUUGUGGUGGCUAGUUCCAGAAGAUGAUUCUAUUGCAAAAAGAUUAGUCUCAGCUCCUCCAGAUAUUCUUUCAGAAAGCAAAUCUGUCACAACAUUAAGUGGUUCACCAGAGUCUUCACCAAAGGAAAGUCAAACUGAACAAGCUCCAAUUCUGGAGUUACAAAAGAGAUUAGGAAUUUCAAUUUCUUCUUCUAAAGCUCAAGUAAAUCUUGUCGAUGAAAUGGAGGACAAAGAACUUCAUGAGUUAUCAUCAAGGUUGGCUGGAGAAACACUACCUACUAGAGACCAGUUUGCAUGCAUUCAGGCACUUCGUGACCACUGGAGAAGAUCUUCAGAAAGUUCAAUACAACUACAGGAGCUAGGACCAUUGCUGCGAGACUAUCAGCGUCUCAUAAUUCAUAAAUACUUCAGAAAAAAUAUUGUCUCCAAUUCACAAUUUACCACACCCAAUCUCCCUGGAGAAGACUACUGCUUUUUCCAUUUGAAAAAUGCCUCUCUGGUAUGGCACCAGGAGGGAGACGACCACGUCCGAGUUUCCAGCCUCCCUUUGAGGAGCUUUUCCCCUUUUCCACUGCCACACCAUUGGAGCCACCAGAGGGUGUUGCAAAGACCAUUCAGUGAAGGUGGUGAGGUGAGGGUGAGGUUCUGGUGCAGAUGGUGAGGUGAGGGUGAGGUCUGUCGAAGAACCUUGCCCUGAAGUAUUGGAGAUGCGAGCACAAGGGAUAGCAUCUUUGUAUCAUGAUUCUGUCCCGCUACACCACAUCGAUUACAGGAUGGUGCGAGCCAUGGCAGAUUGAGUUGGGCAUCAUAUGCCACAGUUAUGCCCUUGUGAUGCUCUUCGAUUGGUGUCACAUUACACCGACUCAGAGGGAGGUCUUCUAUAGCCACUUACGGAUAAAAUAAUAUUUAGUGAAAUAUUUAAUUAGCACUGUAUUCUUAUAAUAUUUGUUGUUGGCAGGCUAUAUUUGAGAUUAUUGAUUUGGAGCAUGAUUACGUAUUGCAAGCUGUGGAUGAUCAUCUAUGCUUGCACUUCAAAGAUUACCGACAUCGCAUUUAUCGUCAUUGGUAUGCUGUAGUAUGGGAUCAGGGGGCAGAGGCGGUGUGGCAGCGGCCAUAUGACAGCAUCAGUAUUGAGGACUGGACUGUCAUAUGCCGCAGGUAUCAGGAUCCGACAUAUCAGGAGUGAUGUGUCCAAAAUACCACCAAUUAGACGAGAUGGACCCUCACGCACUGUGGGGGUUCGAGGUCGUUCGCUCGCCAUAUAGAGCAGAUGGAUCGAGAUCUACUAGUGGAUCCACUAGUGACGGUCAGGAGAGUGGAUGAUGGAGAGCCAAGAGCUUUAUGUUUCUUGAACUGCACAUGCGUCUGGCCUUCAUAGGUAUCAACACAAAGUUCCAAUCAGAUCAGAGGAGGAGAAGAAGGACUAGAGGAAGGAGAGGUGGUGGAAGAAUGAAGAGAACUCUUUGUCUCAAAAUCCCAUGCUAGGAUCUAAACCUAGAUCCUUCUCGCUAGAGACCCUUCUCUAGUUUUUCUCAUGCCCAAAGAGGAAACAACUUUCCUCUGUUUCAUGCACAGGAACCCCACCCCACUCCUCUAUUUCACGCCCCACUCUCAGAUGUUUCUCACGAUGAAAAAUUUUUUUUUUUGC